rnacentral:lncRNA from 1 species
AUUAUUUCAAAAAACUUAAAUUCAACUAUAUAUAUUUUUUUACGUCAUUAAAAGCGGAGAAGAAAACCAAAGAAACUGGUGAAAAUGGCACUUCGAUAUCAUUUCUUAAUCAAAAGUUAUAAAAAAAAAGUGUCCAUUCGAAAAUAAACAUGACAAAAAUGGCGAUAAACUCCUAUUUGCUUAGACAAACUGAAUAAACUCCUUUUAUAUAAGUAUUUUUUUAAACAAACAAACUCAUAGUACUCUUUUAGAAAAUCCGACAUACAGGAUUGAUCGUUAUACGUUUAUUUAUACAGGGUGUUAACUAAACCAAGUUGACCAAAUGGGCCUAUUUUGGGAAAACUGUGCAUAGGAAAGUUGAGUUAGUAGGCUAUGGAAACAAAAGUGGCAGGUAACCAUCGAAGCAAAAAAUAUCAUACAUCGUUUGCGAACGACUGAAAACGUUCGGCUGCCCGUGUUUCGAAGACAACGCAGGGGACGCACCGAAGACAACAUAAUAAAUGUUUUAGCCUACGUCGAGUUUAAUCCUCACUUAAGUACUAGAACAAUAGCGCACGACCUGGAAGUAAAUCGAACUACUGUUCAGAAUAUUAAUAAGGAGUACAGGUUUCAUCCAUAUCAUUUAGUCCUGCAUCAAGAAUUAAGUGCACAACAUUUUGACUGAAGGCUAGACCAUUGUCACUGGCUUUUGGGUAUGAUUGCAGAGGAUCCUCAGGUGCUUUCAAACAUAUUGUGAACAGAUGAGGCUACAUUUCACAGCAAUGGAGGCGUGAAUCUCCACAAUAUUCAUUACUGGUCACCAACGAAUCCGUACUGGAUGCGAGAAGUCCAGCAUCAAGGCCGUUGGUCUUUAAAUUGUUGGGCAGGAAUAUUUUUUUUUGACAACAAAAAAGGAUUGCAUUUUUUUAACAACGCACUAAAUGGUGCAAAUUAUUUGCAGUUUUUAAGGGAGGAAUUGCCAAUUUUAUUAGACAAAAUAUGAUUGGCCGGAUUAGAGAUUGCAUGCAGACUCUCUCAUUUGCUGAAGUAGAGACUGCAGUUUUGCCUACCGAACAAAAUAUGUUUCAGUGCAUAGAAAAUGAUGGAAUGCAUUUUGAACAUUUGGGGAGGCACUAAAUAAAUUAUGUGUAUAACAUAUUAUUUAUUGUACCACCUAAGAUUUCUUAAAAUUGUAUGUAGAAUUUAAAUAUCAAAUAACAUAUUAUAGAGUGUUCUAUUUAAAAUAAGCAAGUUUUCAUCUACAUCCGGUAUCAUCAAAAUUGUUACAAGUGUCAAAUUAUUUUAUUGUUGUAUCUUUAAUUAACUUUUCUAUGGUAUGAUAUGGUGCCAAAUUUUCAAAACUUUCCUAUAGAACAACUAUAAACCGUAUGCACAGUUUUCCCAAAAUAGGCCAAUUUGGUCAACUUUAUUUAGUUAACACCCUGUAUAAAUAAACGUAUAACGAUCAAUUCUAUAUCUCGGAUUUUCUAAAACACUACUGAGUUUGUUUCUUUUUAAAAAUACUUAGUUAAUACGAGUUUAUUCAGCUUGUCUAAGCAAAUAGUAAUUUAUGGCCAUUUUUAUCACUUUUAUUUUCGAAUGGACAAGUUAAGUUUAAGUUUAGUUUAACAAGUGAU